GAUGAACGCUGGCGGCGUGCCUAAUACAUGCAAGUCGAGCGAAGCGGGGACGGGUGAGUAACACGUGGAUAACCUCCUCUAUGACUGGGAUAACUUCGGGCACCCGGAGCUAAACCCGCUACUUAUCGAUGGUUCCUCGCUGCAUUAGCUAUUUGGUAAGGUAACGGCUUACCAAGGCAACUAUGCAUAGCCGACCUGAGAGGGUGAUCGGCCACCCGGGGACUGAGACACGGUCCCGACUCCUACGGGAGGCAGCAGUAUGGAAUCUUCCGCAAUGGGCGCAGGCCUGACGGUGCAACGCCGCGUGAGUGAUGAAGGUCGUCGGAUCGUAAAACUCUGUUAUUAGGGAAGCGGGACCUAAGAAGGAAGCCACGGCUAACUACGUGCCAGCCGCCGCGGUAAUUC
rnacentral:rRNA from 1 species